rnacentral:ncRNA from 1 species
UCAACUGUGGUUCCUUAGGCCAUAUAUACUCCAUGGAUAACUGUAGUAAUUCUAGAGCUAAUACAUGCAAUUUCGCUCUGGCCCGCAAGGGAACGGGUGUAUUUAUUAGAACAGAACCAACCGUCGGCAGUUUCGGCUGUCUCUGUUGAAUUAUGUGAUGACUCCGGAUGACUUUAGUUAUCGCAGUCGGCCUUGUGUGGGCGACGGAUCUUUCAAAUGUCUGC